UACAGGGGGUGCAAACGUUGCUCGGAAUUUAUUGGGCGUAAAGCGCGCGUAGGCGGUUACUUAAGUCGGAUGUGAAAGCCCUUGGCUCAACUGAGGAAGUGCAUCCGAAACUGAGUAGCUUGAGUACGAAAGAGGGUCGCGGAAUUCCCAGUGUAGAGGUGAAAUUCGUAGAUAUUGGGAGGAACACCGGUGGCGAAGGCGGCGACCUGGGUCGAGACUGACGCUGAGGCGCGAAAGCGUGGGGAGCAAACAGG
rnacentral:rRNA from 1 species